AGAAGGAUGAUUACUUCACCGGUGGAAACCCCACUGAAGAACAUCACCGUUGCUAGGACAACGGAGAAUGAAGCUGGUUGCCCACGGUUACCCAUGUACCAAAUGUCAUCGAGUGUGAGUGUUAGCUUUGAAUGGGCCUCAGGAGCACAAUGAGGAAGGGCAAUAGGAACUGCCUAAGCCCUUGACAGAGAUGCUCUAACACUCCCUUCGGCAAGCAGGUCCAGAUGUCAACCCCUGCGCUCUGGACGGAUCCUGAAAGAACUAUGAACGGUCAUCGCCCUUGGCUGAGUUCAGCCUCGGCUGAAGCUCUGACCCAGUGGGAAAACCGAUUGCCCUUAACAUAAAGAUACUGUCCUCAGAAAAA